CCAGAGAACUUAGCAGAGAUGCUUUGGUGCCUUCGGGAACUCUGAGACAGGUGCUGCAUGGCUGUCGUCAGCUCGUGUUGUGAAAUGUUGGGUUAAGUCCCGCAACGAGCGCAAUCCUUAUCCUUUGUUGCCAGCGGCUCGGCCGGGAACUCAAAGGAGACUGCCGGUGAUAAACCGGAGGAAGGUGGGGAUGACGUCAAGUCAUCAUGGCCCUUACGGCCAGGGCUACACACGUGCUACAAUGGCGCAUACAAAGAGAAGCGACCUCGCGAGAGCAAGCGGACCUCAUAAAGUGCGUCGUAGUCCGGAUUGGAGUCUGCAACUCGACUCCAUGAAGUCGGGAUCGCUAGUAAUCGUAGAUCAGAAUGCUACGGUGAAUACGUUCCCGGGCCUUGUACACACCGCCCGUCACACCAUGGGAGUGGGUUGCAAAAGAAGUAGGUAGCUUAACCUUCGGGAGGGCGCUUACCACUUUGUGAUUCAUGACUGGGGUGAAGUCGUAACAAGGUAAGCGUACGUGU
rnacentral:rRNA from 1 species